rnacentral:rRNA from 1 species
AUUGAACGCUAGCGGGAUGCUUUACACAUGCAAGUCGAACGAGUGGCGGACGGGUGAGUAAUAUAUCGGAACGUGCCCAGUAGCGGGGGAUAACUACUCGAAAGAGUGGCUAAUACCGCAUACUAUUGAAGCGGCCGAUAUCGGAUUAGCUAGUGGGUGGGGUAAAGGCUCACCAAGGCCACGAGCCGUAGCUGGGUUGCGAGGACGACCAGCCACACUGGACUUGAGAAACGGCCCUGGCUCCUACGGGAGGAAGCAGUGGGGAAUUUUGGACAUAGGGGGAAACCCUGAUCCAGCCAUCCCGCGUGUAUGAGAAGGCCUGCGGGUUGUAAAGUACUUUUGGCAGAGAAGCGGUAUCUGCAGAAUAAGCACCGGCUAACUACGAGCCAGCAGCGGCGGUAAUUC